GAAAUGCGAUAAUUAAUGUGAAUUGCAGAAUUCAGUGAAUCAUCGAGUCUUUGAACGCACAUUGCGCCCCCUGGUAUUCCGGGGGGCAUGCCUGUCCGAGCGUCAUUGCUGCCCUCAAGCACGGCUUGUGUGUUGGGCUUCCGUCCCUGGCAACGGGGACGGGCCCACAAGGCAGUGGCGGCACCAUGUCUGGUCCUCGAGCGUAUGGGGCUUUGUCACCCGCUCCCGUAGGUCCAGCUGGCAGCUAGCCUCGCAACCAAUCUUUUUAACCAGGUUGACCUCGGAUCAGGUAGUGAUACCCGCUGAACUUAAGC
rnacentral:misc_RNA from 1 species